AUUAUUUUAAGAUUAUUUUUUAUUGUUGAAAAAAUUAAAAAUAAAUUGUUUUUAACAAAAAUUAAAAUUUAUAAUAUUUCAUUUUUUGGUUUUUUGUUUUAAAUUAAAAUAAUAAAUAUGGGGGAAAAAAAAAUUUUGUUAUAAAUUAUAUUAGUUUAUUUUAAUUAAAAAUAUUUUUUAUUAAAUUUGUUUUUUUUAUUUUUUUAUAAAAAAUAUUAAUUUAAUUAUUAUUAUUGAGUUUAAUUUAGUUAUUUUUAAAAAAAUUUUGUAUAAAAUAAAUUUGAUAAUAAAUGUUUUUUAAAUUCUUUGGGGGUUUAGUUUAUGAUUUUUUGUUUCUGCUCAUUGUUAAAUAAAAGCACUUUUAG
rnacentral:rRNA from 1 species